GACGAACCGUGCGAACGUUAUUCGGAAUCACUGGGCUUAAAGCGCGUGUAGGCGGCCCGGCACGUCCGUCGCUGAAAUCCCCGGGCUCAACCUGGGAACUGCGCUUGUGACUGCAAGGCUAGAGUACGGCAGAGGGGGGUGGAAUUCCACGUGUAGCAGUGAAAUGCGUAGAGAUGUGGAGGAACACCAAUGGCGAAGGCAGCCCCCUGGGUCGAUACUGACGCUCAUGCACGAAAGCGUGGGUAGCAAACAGG
rnacentral:rRNA from 1 species